UACGUAGGGUGCGAGCGUUGUCCGGAAUUACUGGGCGUAAAGAGCUCGUAGGUGGUUUGUCGCGUUGUUCGUGAAAACUCACAGCUUAACUGUGGGCGUGCGGGCGAUACGGGGCAGACUGGGAGUACUGCAGGGGAGACUGGAAUUCCUGGUGUAGCGGUGGAAUGCGCAGAGUAUCAGGAGGAACACCGGUGGCGAAGGCGGGUCUCUGGGCAGUAACUGACGCUGGAGGAGCGAAAGCGUGGGGAGCGAACAGG
rnacentral:rRNA from 1 species